rnacentral:rRNA from 1 species
UAGGGAAUCUUCGGCAAUGGACGAAAGUCUGACCGAGCAACGCCGCGUGAGUGAAGAAGGUUUUCGGAUCGUAAAACUCUGUUGGUAGAGAAGACGUUGGUGAGAGUGGAAAGCUCAUCAAGUGACGGUAACUACCCAGAAAGGGACGGCUAACUACGUGCCAC